rnacentral:rRNA from 1 species
AUUGAACGCUGGCGGCAUGCCUUACACAUGCAAGUCGAACGGUAACGGGCCUUCGGGUGCCGACGAGUGGCGAACGGGUGAGUAAUACAUCGGAACGUGCCCGAUCGUGGGGGAUAACGAGGCGAAAGCUUUGCUAAUACCGCAUACGAUCUACGGAUGAAAGCAGGGGACCGCAAGGCCUUGCGCGGACGGAGCGGCCGAUGGCAGAUUAGGUAGUUGGUGGGAUAAAAGCUUACCAAGCCGACGAUCUGUAGCUGGUCUGAGAGGAUGAUUAGCCACACUGGGACUGAGACACGGCCCAGACUCCUACGGGAGGCAGCAGUGGGGAAUUUUGGACAAUGGGCGCAAGCCUGAUCCAGCCAUGCCGCGUGCAGGAUGAAGGCCUUCGGGUUGUAAACUGCUUUUGUACGGAACGAAAAGCCUUCUUUUAAUACAGGAGGGUCAUGACGGUACCGUAAGAAUAAGCACCGGCUAACUACGUG